rnacentral:rRNA from 1 species
CUCUUUCUCGAUUCAGUGGAUGGUGGUGCAUGGCCGUUCUUAGUUGGUGGAGUGAUCUGUCUGGUUAAUUCCGAUAACGAACGAGACUCUCCCCUGCUAACUAGUCGGUUGGAUCUUGAUCAGCGGGUUGCGUGCCGAGUAACUCUCGCUGUGCGUGGUGCGUCUCGGGCCUCACGGUUCGUUGCGUGCUCGUGUGGCGUUGGAUGCCUUGGAUCACACUGCACCCCAAGUCCGCCGCUCAUGCUAUAACUCUUCUUAGAGGGAUUCACGGCACUGAAGCCGUAAGAGACUGAGAGCAAUAACAGGUCUGUGAUGCCCUUAGAUGCUCUGGGCCGCACGCGCGCUACAAUGCCGGGCACAGCAGGUGUUUCUCCUGCUCCGACAGGAGCGGGUAACCCUCUGAAAGCCAGUGUUCUUGCAAGUGCUUCCUCCCUCGUGGAGUUGCACAGAGGCGUGCUUGGGCCUGGGACUUGCAAUUCUUUCCCACCAACGAGGAAUGCCUAGUAGCGGCGGGUCACUGAGCCCGCCGUGACUCAGUCCCUGCCCUUUGUACACACCGCCCGUCGCUACUACCGAUUGGGUGUACCAGUGAGAGCCUUGGACUGGCGUCCGUUGUUGCUCGCAAGAGUGACAAGCGGGUCCGACGGAAAGAGGUCCGAACUGGUGCACUUAGAGGAAGUAAAAGUCGUAACAAGGUUUCCGUAGGUGAACCUGCGGAAGGGAUCA